rnacentral:lncRNA from 1 species
AAGCAGGAACAUUACUAUUCGGGGUUGGGGAACACUAAAACUUCAGCACCGGAAAAGACUACAGGAAUUAAGUGUUUUCACUAAUUUUGAUCUUAUGCAGGGGUCUUUGCUGAAGAGCGGACUGUAUGAAAACUGCAAAACCAAGCUCAUUCUGAGCAUCACGAUUUCUUGCUUUAAAACUGAAUUUCAGUUAUCCAAGAGCUGCUAAAUCUGUUUUAAAAGAACUUUUAAGCUUUGAGAGGGCAGGAACAGGAAACUUCAAUCGGAAAGUGUGGAACUGCAGCUACAUGACAACUUGUAGUAUACAAAGUGUUUUCCGGAGAAAAAGAUGAUUCACUCACAGAGGUCAAUGGUGCAGAUUCGCAAGCUGGUUGUGGAAAGCAGGGAUGUUAACACAUAGAGCAAGCUGCCCCCUGGAAAUUGCUGGUUUGCAAGUUCUUAACUCACCUGCUUCAUGAAUUACAUUUUAAGGGCUGAAUGGAAACCACAUGAAGAAAGCAGAUAUAAAUGUCCUUAAUGCAAAUCUGCAAUACUGUUUUUGCUGACUUAUUUUCCCCCUGCUUUCAUGUCCAGCCAGUCAGUCAAGCCUGCUUCAUGUCCCUUACAGACUGCUUGCACUCUGAAGACAUGAAAAUUGAAAACGUUUCAAAGAAUCACAGAAUGGGCAAGGUUGGAAGGGACCUCUGA